CAGCCGCCACGGUAAUACGUAGGUGGCAAGCGUUGUCCGGAAUUAUUGGGCGUAAAGCGCGCGCAGGCGGAUCAGUCAGUCUGUCUUAAAAGUUCGGGGCUUAACCCCGUGAGGGGAUGGAAACUGCUGAUCUAGAGUAUCGGAGAGGAAAGUGGAAUUCCUAGUGUAGCGGUGAAAUGCGUAGAUAUUAGGAAGAACACCAGUGGCGAAGGCGACUUUCUGGACGAAAACUGACGCUGAGGCGCGAAAGCCAGGGGAGCGAACGGGAUUAGAGACCCCAGUAGUCCCUGUCUCUUAUACC
rnacentral:rRNA from 1 species